rnacentral:rRNA from 1 species
AGCAUGUGGUUUAAUUCGAUGCAACGCGAAGAACCUUACCUACUCUUGACAUCCAGCGAAUCCUUUAGAGAUAGAGGAGUGCCUUCGGGAACGCUGAGACAGGUGCUGCAUGGCUGUCGUCAGCUCGUGUUGUGAAAUGUUGGGUUAAGUCCCGCAACGAGCGCAACCCUUAUCCUUUGUUGCCAGCACGUAAUGGUGGGAACUCAAAGGAGACUGCCGGUGAUAAACCGGAGGAAGGUGGGGAUGACGUCAAGUCAUCAUGGCCCUUACGAGUAGGGCUACACACGUGCUACAAUGGCAGAUACAAAGAGAAGCGACCUCGCGAGAGCAAGCGGAACUCAUAAAGUCUGUCGUAGUCCGGAUUGGAGUCUGCAACUCGACUCCAUGAAGUCGGAAUCGCUAGUAAUCGUAGAUCAGAAUGCUACGGUGAAUACGUUCCCGGGCCUUGUACACACCGCCCGUCACACCAUGGGAGUGGGUUGCAAAAGAAGUAGGUAGCUUAACCUUCGGGAGGGCGCUUACCACUUUGUGAUUCAUGACUGGGGUGAAGUCGUAACAAGGUAACCGUAGGGGAACCUGCGGUUGGAUCACCUCCUUACCUAAGAGA